rnacentral:rRNA from 1 species
AGUGAACGCUGGCGGUAGGCCUAACACAUGCAAGUCGAACGGCAGCACAGUAAGAGCUUGCUCUUACGGGUGGCGAGUGGCGGACGGGUGAGGAAUACAUCGGAAUCUACUUUUUCGUGGGGGAUAACGUAGGGAAACUUACGCUAAUAUCGCAUACGACCUACGGGUGAAAGCAGGGGAUCUUCGGACCUUGCGUGAUUGAUUGAGCCGAUGUCGGAUUAGCUAGUUGGGGGGGUAAAGGCCCACCAAGGCGACGAUCCGUAGCUGGUCUGAGAGGAUGAUCAGCCACACUGGAACUGAGACACGGUCCAGACUCCUACGGGAGGCAGCAGUGGGGAAUAUUGGACAAUGGGCGCAAGCCUGAUCCAGCCAUACCGCGUGGGUGAAGAAGGCCUUCGGGUUGUAAAGCCCUUUUGUUGGGAAAGAAAAGCAGCAGGUUAAUACCCCGCUGUUCUGACGGUACCCAAAGAAUAAGCACCGGCUAACUUCGUG